GGGUUAGUCGGGACCUAAGCCGAGGCCGAAAGGCGUAGGCGAUGGACAACAGGUUGAUAUUCCUGUACCACCUCCUCACCAUUUGAGCAAUGGGGGGACGCAGGAGGAUAGGGUAAGCGCGGUAUUGGAUAUCCGCGUCCAAGCAGUUAGGCUGGGAAAUAGGCAAAUCCGUUUCCCAUAUGGCCGAGCUGUGAUGGCGAGCGAAAUAUAGUAGCGAAGUUCCUGAUUCCACACUGCCAAGAAAAGCCUCUAGCGAGGUGAGAGGUGCCCGUACCGCAAACCGACACAGGUAGGCGAGGAGAGAAUCCUAAGGUGAUCGAGAGAACUCUCGUUAAGGAACUCGGCAAAAUGACCCCGUAACUUCGGGAGAGGGGGUGCUCUGUUAGGGUGCAAGCCCGAGAGAGCCGCAGUGAAUAGGCCCAGGCGACUGUUUAGCAAAAACACAGGUCUCUGCGAAGCCGUAAGGCGAAGUAUAGGGGCUGACGCCUGCCCGGUGCUGGAAGGUUAAGAGAAGCGCUUAGCGUAAGCGAAGGUGCGAAUUGAAGCCCCAGUAAACGGCGGCCGUAACGAUAACGGUCCUAAGGUAGCGAAAUUCCUUGUCGGGUAAGUUCCGACCCGCACGAAAGGCGCAACGAUCUGGGCACUGUCUCAACGAGAGACUCGGUGAAAUUAUAGUACCUGUGAAGAUGCAGGUUACCCGCGACAGGACGGAAAGACCCCGUGGAGCUUUACUGCAGCCUGAUAUUGAAUGUUGGUACAGCUUGUACAGGAUAGGUAGGAGCCUUGGAAACCGGAGCGCCAGCUUCGGUGGAGGCAUCGGUGGGAUACUACCCUGGCUGUAUUGACCUUCUAACCCGCCGCCCUUAUCGGGCGGGGAGACAGUGUCAGGUGGGCAGUUUGACUGGGGCGGUCGCCUCCUAAAAGGUAACGGAGGCGCCCAAAGGUUCCCUCAGAAUGGUUGGAAAUCAUUCGCAGAGUGUAAAGGCACAAGGGAGCUUGACUGCGAGACCUACAAGUCGAGCAGGGACGAAAGUCGGGCUUAGUGAUCCGGUGGUUCCGCAUGGAAGGGCCAUCGCUCAACGGAUAAAAGCUACCCCGGGGAUAACAGGCUUAUCUCCCCCAAGAGUCCACAUCGACGGGGAGGUUUGGCACCUCGAUGUCGGCUCAUCGCAUCCUGGGGCUGUAGUCGGUCCCAAGGGUUGGGCUGUUCGCCCAUUAAAGCGGUACGCGAGCUGGGUUCAGGACGUCGUGAGACAGUUCGGUCCCUAUCCGUCGCGGGCGCAGGAAAUUUGAGAGGAGCUGUCCUUAGUACGAGAGGACCGGGAUGGACGCACCGCUGGUGUACCAGUUGUUCUGCCAAGGGCAUCGCUGGGUAGCUAUGUGCGGACAGGAUAAGUGCUGAAAGCAUCUAAGCAUGAAGCCCCCCUCAAGAUGAGAUUUCCCAUUCCGCAAGGAAGUAAGAUCCCUGAAAGAUGAUCAGGUUGAUAGGUCUGAGGUGGAAGUGUGGCGACACAUGGAGCUGACAGAUACUAAUCGAUCGAGGACUUAACCG
rnacentral:rRNA from 1 species